rnacentral:rRNA from 1 species
UACGGGGGGGGGGCAAGCGUUGUUCGGAAUUACUGGGCGUAAAGGGCUCGUAGGUGGCCAACUAAGUCAGACGUGAAAUCCCCUCAGCUUAACUGGGGAACUGCGUCUGAUACUGGAUGGCUUGGAUUCGGGAGAGGAAUGCGGAAUUCCAGGUGUAGCGGUGAAAUGCGUAGAUAUCUGGAGGAACACCGGUGGCGAAGGCGGCAUUCUGGACCAUAACUGACACUGAGAGACGAAAGCCAGGGGAGCAAACGGG